rnacentral:rRNA from 1 species
CCUACGGGAGGCAGCAGUGAGGAAUAUUGGUCAAUGGGCGAGAGCCUGAACCAGCCAAGUCGCGUGAAGGAUGAAGGAUCUAUGGUUCGUAAACUUCUUUUAUAGGGGAAUAAAGUGCGGGACGUGUCCUGUUUUGUAUGUACCCUAUGAAUAAGGAUCGGCUAACUCCGUGCCAGCAGCCGCGGUAAUACGGAGGAUCCGAGCGUUAUCCGGAUUUAUUGGGUUUAAAGGGUGCGUAGGUGGCUUUUUAAGUCAGCGGUGAAAGUUUGUGGCUCAACCAUAAAAUUGCCGUUGAAACUGGGGGGCUUGAGUAUAUUUGAGGUAGGCGGAAUGCGUGGUGUAGCGGUGAAAUGCAUAGAUAUCACGCAGAACUCCAAUUGCGAAGGCAGCUUACUAAACUAUAACUGACACUGAAGCACGAAAG